rnacentral:lncRNA from 1 species
GUGCGUGGCGUGGAGUCCAGAAUGAGAAGAAGGAAAGCGGGGCCGGUUCCUUCAGGACCCGCCUCAGGGGGCACCGCGGCGGCUUGGGGACCACUUGGAGCCCCGUCCUGGGGAGAAAACAGCUCACGUCUAUGGCCCUGACUGCUUAGGCGGGAGCUGCGUGCAGCUCAGCUUCUCCGGGGCAUUUUUUUCUACACGGUUAUUGCUCUGUCACCCAGGCUGGAGUUCAGCAGUGCGAUCUUGGCUCAUUGCAGCCUUGAACCUCCCGGGCUCAAGUGAUCCUCCCUCCUCAACCUCCCAAGUAGCUGGGACUACAGCUGGGUGAGCUAUGAACAGGCCAACUGCAAGGGCGAGCAGUUUGUGUUUGAGAAGGGCGAGUACGCCCACUGGGACUGGUGGACCAGCAGCCAGAGGACAGACUCAGCAGCCUGAGGCCCAUCAAAGUGGGACAUGGAUGAAGCUGGAAACCAUCAUUCUCAGCAAACUAACACAGAAGCAGAAAACCAAACACCACAUGUUCUCACUCAUAAGUGGGAGUUGAACAGUGAGAACACAUGGACACAAGGAGGGGAACAUCACACACCGAGGCCUGUCAGGGAGUGGGGGACAAGAGGGAGAGAGAGCAUUGGGACAAAUACCAAAUGCAUGCACGGCUUAAAACCUAGAUGACAGGUUGAUGGGUGCAGCAAACCACCAUGGCACAUGUAUACCUGUGUAACAAACCUGCACGUUCUGCACAUGUAUCCCAGAACUUAUAAUAAAAAAGAAACCAGUAAGUGCUCAAUAAAUGUUACUAACAUCUAUUUCUUCAUUCAUUCUUCAACCAUUACCCACUGAGUGCCUAUUUGGAUACUUGGCUUAGUACCUGGGUGAUGAAAUAAUCUACAGCAAACCCCCAUGGCAUGAGUUUAUAACAAACCUGCACAUGUAUCCCCGAACUUAAAAGUUAAAAAAACAGAAUCUGCACAAGUCUAAGCUACUUCCUUGAGGAAAAGACUCGAGCUGAGAUCUCAAAGAAGAGUAGAAGUUGCAGGGGUAAAGAGGCCAAAGAAGAGUGUCUCAGAUGAGAGCGGCACGUGCAAAGGCCCUGUGGUGGGAGGAGCCUGGUAGCUCUGAGAAACUCCACAAAGGCACGGUGGUGGCUGGAAUGCAGAGAUGUGGGGGCACAUUGAAAACCUUGUUAAAGUGCUUAAAAUGAUUAUCAUAAAGGUAGAAACUAAUAAGUGCUAAAUAAAUGUUAUUCUCGUCCGUUUCUCC